UACGGAGGGUGCAAGCGUUUAAUCGGAAUUACUGGGCGUAAAGCGUGCGUAGGCGGUUCGUUAAGUCUGUUGUGAAAGCCCCGGGCUCAACCUGGGAAUGGCAAUGGAUACUGGCGAGCUAGAGUGUGUCAGAGGAUGGUGGAAUUCCCCGGUGUAGCGGUGAAAUGCGUAGAGAUCGGGAGGAACAUCAGUGGCGGAAGGCGGCCAUCUGGGACAACACUGCGCUGAGGCACGAAAGCGUGGGGAGCAAACAGG
rnacentral:rRNA from 1 species